ensembl:rRNA 5S_rRNA 5S ribosomal RNA
GCUUACGGCCAUACCAGCCCAAGAACGCCCCGGUCUCGUCUGAUCUCGGAAGCUAAGAAGGCUUGGGCCUUGUUAGUACUUGGAUGGGAGACCUCCUGGGAAUACAAGGUGCUGUAAGCU